CCUACGGGUGGCAGCAGUGGGGAAUAUUGGACAAUGGGGGGAACCCUGAUCCAGCCAUGCCGCGUGUGUGAAGAAGGCCCUCGGGUUGUAAAGCACUUUCAGUGAGGAAGAACGCCUGGUGGUUAAUACCCAUCAGGAAAGACAUCACUCACAGAAGAAGCACCGGCUAACUCCGUGCCAGCAGCCGCGGUAAUACGGAGGGUGCGAGCGUUAAUCGGAAUUACUGGGCGUAAAGCGCGCGUAGGUGGCUUGAUAAGCCGGUUGUGAAAGCCCCGGGCUCAACCUGGGAACGGCAUCCGGAACUGUCAAGCUAGAGUGCAGGAGAGGAAGGUAGAAUUCCCAGUGUAGCGGUGAAAUGCGUAGAGAUCGGGAGGAAUACCAGUGGCGAAGGCGGCCUUCUGGACUGACACUGACACUGAGGUGCGAAAGCGUGGGUAGCAAACAGGAUUAGAUACCCUGGUAGUC
rnacentral:rRNA from 1 species